CAAAAAUAUAAUGCAAAUUCAUGUCAUGCUUGACAUAUAAUAAGUAAUUACUUAAAAUAUGCUUAUAAUAAUAAUUUAAUAUUAUUAUAAAAAUUUACUCUUUGAAAAUAAUUAAUUAAACUUAAUAAGUCUAAUUAAUUAUAAUAGUGUAGCUCCUUUAAAUAAAAUCUGCACAAAUCCAAAUAAAUAAAUACUUGGGCAGCCCAUGAUUUAAAAUAAUCAGAGGCCCAACUGAUAAAAGAAAAUCGGCCCAACUGACUCGGCCCAAAAUUAAGAAAUAACCCGGCCCAACUCAAGCCCAACUGAAAAUUAAAAACAUAGGCCCAAACACCCCAACCCUUCUCUAUCUUCUUUCUCCCGUAACCUCUCGCCACUCUCUCUCUCUCAGUUGAAAGAUCCGCCCACCCCACUCUUCUUCCUUGGGUGAAAUCCGCCGGAGGAGCAGCGGCGACAAGCCGCGCCACCCUCGGCUCUCCCUUCACUCACCGAACCCGGCGCCCCUGUAACGCCCCCCCUUCCCCCAUUUUUCUCGCGUGAUCAGACACGCAACGCACACAAGCACAGACGGCGGUGCACACAGGCCCCGGCCGCCAUCUCCCUCCGGCGAAUCGACAUCGGUAAGCCACCGUGCCGUUUCAGAACCCAGACCCCAAACCAUGACCGCUCUCCCCUCCAUCUUCUCUCUCUCCGUCCGUGGCCGAGCGACAGCGGCAGGGCCGCCGCGCCCUGGCCUCCCUCUGAAAAAUCCCAGCCGAGUUCAGCCUAUCUCUCUCUAUUUCUCGACUCUAAUCCACAGCAAGGGUGAAACAUGAAGAGAAUGGGGAAGAUUGAAGCUAGGAUUUACCUUGAAUAAUGGUAGAAAAUGAAUGGAGUUCUCCUACUUGCUCUUCUCGUGGAGUUAGUGUAAAAUGGUGAAGUGAGUUGCUGCCUUGAAUCAUUAAAGGAGGAAGAUUGGCAGCUAUCUCUUUUAUGACUAAAGCAUGGAGGAAGCUAUAUUGUAGUGUGGCUGAGUUGACAACCUAUUGUACUAUGAGUAUGGCUUUUGGUGUGAAUGAAAUAAGGCUGCAGGGAGGGUGUCGUAGGUGAUGGAGAGGUGUUGGUAUUUGGUGUACUUGUAUCUUACAAAUGUGUGUGUAUGUCUAUGUAUAAAUGACUGCCAAUGUAACUUUCUUUAUUGUAUAAUGUAGGAAUAAUAGAUGUAGUAAAAUUGUAAUGGGAAUGUAAUUAAAUCCUUGGUGCAUUUAUAAAAGGAAUUCCUUUCGAAUCUU